UUAUAAAUAAUGUUGUUAUGAAAAAUAUUUUAUGAAUUUUUUUUUGCUAAACUCCAAUUGUGUAAAUAGGAAUUUUUUUUUCUAAAAUUAGCUUUUAAAUUGACUUUAAUAUUAGGUAAAUAUUAUGAAUUUGGAGAUCACCACUAAAUUCUAAAAAGUUCUGCGUUUGGGUUUUUAUUUUUGUACACAAGUUAUACAUAGUUCGUGAGUUCAUGGUUAAGUAGUAUUAUCGUCAAAACGUCUCUAUAAUCCAUAUUACACAAAGACAGUUUUCUCUUAGUUUUAACUGUAAGGACCAAUUUUGGCCCGGACCUGCUAGAAACCCAAAGAAAUGUAUAAAAUACAUAAAUAAAUAAAUAAAUAAACCACAGCCCGUUAAAAUGUCCUUUUUACAGUCCCUCAGUCCAAUUACAUGGCCUAAAACCAACACCCUACAGCCCAAUAUCAAUUACAAGUCCCUUAGGCCCAGUAUUUGGGGAAAAGAAACCCUAGGGCUUCCUUCUCAUCCUUGCGCCGCAGCCUUCACCAGGUAGCCAAGCCCCAGCCCGCACGUCAGCCGCCUCCGUACCCGCGCCAGCACAGCUCCGUACGGCCUCCUGGCGCCACGCCCACGCCCCAAAUGCCAGCACGAUCCCUGUACACGCACCUGUACCUGCAAACAAACAAGGCAGACGCGACAGCAAAUAGAAAAAAAGAAAAACAUAUUGUAUUUUCUUUAAUUUUUAACAUUCGGCUAUAAAGCCUACCGAUUCUGAUUGUAAAGGGGUUCCCCUUUUGAAAAUAUAUAGAGAACCUACGCAAUAGCAAAGCAAAAAAAGAAAUAGACGAAAAUAAGGUGAUUUUCCCUUCUCUUUUUUUAAUUCUCCGCUCUUCCUGUUUUUAUUUACUCGAGUCCUCUGUUACUUUAUCAUCAAAAAGAAAAAAGAAAGUGACGAAGCUUACCUGCGUUCCGAAGCGUUCGAGUCCCCGCUUGUUUCGCCACCAUCGAAACACAGUGGCGAUUUGGGGCUGGUAGGCAAGACCCACGAAUCCCCUCAGUUCAAUAAAGCCUCGAUUGACCGUUCUAAGGGGUUGAAAGGAGAGGCAGAUGAACAAUCGUGGGUAACCAUCGGUCGGCCGAAUAUUGAAGAGAGGAGUUUUGAUCUUUUUUUUGUUUUCCUCAUAUGAGCGGCUGAUGGAAAAAGGGUUAGGGUUUGGAGCAUUGAAAGUCUGAUGAAAUGGGGGUUUUAUAUGCGCGUGGGAACGACGUCGUUUAAGGCUUUGUCCCCACGGCCUCAAAACGGCAUCGUAUAAGCCUAUUUGAUCCGACCCGAUCCUUUGGCCCUGGGAUCCGCGCGUUUUCGAGGUGAGGGGGUAUUUUCAGCACAGGUCCUUCCUCGUUUAUGCGAUAUUUCAAUCAACCAUUUUGUAUUACUCUCGUUCUUUCUAAAUUCGCCCCAUAAAUUCAUACAUAAGUGCAUGUUAAUCCGCGUCUAAACGCGGUGUUUCGGGAUCUGGCAUAUUGCCAGUUUUGGUCCCCGCACGAUCGCGCGAGUUGCGCUUUAAUCCUUCCCCUAAUUUCAGCAGUAUAUUUUAUUUAUUAAAUGUUCUUUUAGUUUGAUUUCAUUUUAAUUAAGUCCUUUUGAUCCGUAUAGUUCAUUUUCUUUUUUUAAUCAACUUAAUAUAUAUAUAUUUUUUACAAUAUGUGUGUACAUGUUUUUUAGUUAUCGUGAUAAUUCCC
rnacentral:lncRNA from 1 species